rnacentral:rRNA from 1 species
AUACGGAAGGUCCGGGCGUUAUCCGGAUUUAUUGGGUUUAAAGGGAGCGCAGGCGGAGAUGCAAGCGUGACGUCAAAUUUCGGGGCUCAACCCCGUCUCGCGUCGCGAACUGCGUCCCUUGGUUGCGGGAAGGGGAGGCGGAACUCGUGGUGUAGCGGUGAAAUGCAUAGAUAUCACGAAGAACUCCGAUCGCGAAGGCAGCCUUCCGGCCCGUCAACGACGCUCAUGCUCGAAGGUGCGGGUAUCAAACAGGAUUAGAUACCCUGGUAGUCCGCACAGUAAACGAUGGACACCCGCGGUUUGGCCUGUAUGGCUGAGCCGCCAAGCGAAAGCGUUAAGUGUCCCACCUGGGGAGUACGCCGGCAACGGUGAAACUUAAAGGAAUCGACGGGG